rnacentral:rRNA from 1 species
GUGCCAGCCGCCGCGGUAAGACGAACCGUGCGAACGUUGUUCGGAAUCACUGGGCUUAAAGGGCGCGUAGGCGGGCUGGCAAGUCCGUGGUGAAAUCCUCCGGCUCAACCGGAGAACGGCCUCGGAUACUGGCGGCCUCGAGGGGGAUAGGGGCGUGCGGAACUGUGGGUGGAGCGGUGAAAUGCGUUGAUAUCCACAGGAACUCCGGUGGCGAAGGCGGCACGCUGGAUCCUCUCUGACGCUGAGGCGCGAAAGCCAGGGGAGCGAACGGGAUUAGAUACCCCCGUAGUCC